ACCGUUCCUGAGUAACCUUACAAUUAUUAUAAACAUGUAAAUAUUUGAGGUCAAUAUUUUCUAUUUGUAUUUAUUUGCCCUUAAAGCACCUGGAUAAUUCUCUAUGACGAAAGACGGUUACUGGCAGUUACGAGUGAGAAGUGGCAAGUGAUAUCAACUAAAGUCAUUUGUUAACAGACAAAGAGACGAGUGUUAAAAGAGAAAUAGACACAUUAAUAAAAAAUUGCAAUAAUUUAAAUAAUCGACAAAAAACAAUAAUAUAUAAAUAAUUAAAGAAAAUGGAUGAGAAGGCAAGUAUCGAACCGCUGGGAAAAAAAAAUAAAGUCAAAAAAUAUUUUGAAGAAGUAGCAGAAGGAUUUGAAUAUUUACACAGAUUUAAAUGUAGCAUAUGCGGAAUGCCAGUAGAACUGUUUGAGCUAUUCCUGCUACACUUACGAUGGGUACAUCCUGAACUGUUUAAAAACAAAUACAAAUACAAAUUCUCCGAAUAAAUUCUCAAUAAAUCCAUCUCUAUCAAAUAA